rnacentral:rRNA from 1 species
UGGGGAAUAUUGCACAAUGGGCGAAAGCCUGAUGCAGCGACGCCGCGUGAGGGAUGACGGCCUUCGGGUUGUAAACCUCUUUCAGCAGGGACGAAGCGCAAGUGACGGUACCUGCAGAAGAAGCACCGGCUAACUACGUGCCAGCAGCCGCGGUAAUACGUAGGGUGCAAGCGUUGUCCGGAAUUACUGGGCGUAAAGAGUUCGUAGGCGGUUUGUCGCGUCGUUUGUGAAAACCAGCAGCUCAACUGCUGGCUUGCAGGCGAUACGGGCAGACUUGAGUACUGCAGGGGAGACUGGAAUUCCUGGUGUAGCGGUGAAAUGCGCAGAUAUCAGGAGGAACACCGGUGGCGAAGGCGGGUCUCUGGGCAGUAACUGACGCUGAGGAACGAAAGCGUGGGUAGCGAACAGGAUUAGAUACCCUGGUAGUCCACGCCGUAAACGGUGGGCGCUAGGUGUGGGUUCCUUCCACGGAAUCCGUGCCGUAGCUAACGCAUUAAGCGCCCCGCCUGGGGAGUACGGC